CGUAAAAUCUCAACUUAAUGGUAGUAAAUUAGCUUUAAAAUGCAUAUAUGUACUUAUAUGUAUGCAUAUGCUCUCAGCACAUUUAACUGAAAAUAAUAAAAGGAAAAACGAAAAAAAGGCCUCAAAAAGUUUUAUUUCAAGUUGCAUUACUAAAAAGUGGCGUACUUGAAGCGUUGCAUUAUAGCGUAGGUCAUAGUUGAAGCCAGAGAAACGAAAGUUAGUAGGCUGUUCUCGUAUAUGCAUAUGUAUUUAUUAUACGACAGAACAAAUGAGCGUUUUAUAUAUUAUUUUAGUGAUUAAAUUUAAAAAUAUAAUAAAAAAUAAAAAUAAAAAAAUAAAAAUAGAAAUAGAAAAAAAAUAAAUUAAUAAUAAAAAUAAAAUUAAAAAUUAAUUAAAAAUUAUUAGCACUUAAUGCUUAAUUUUUUUUUGUUAUGUAAGUAAAUAUUUUGCAAUAGAAAUAUAUAAUAUUUUGGAGUUCAACAAAAACUAUAUUGAAAAAUAGCAAAAAUCCAAAAAUAUUGCAAAUAAAAAACGUUUAGAGCGCAACAAAAAUGCGAAAAUUAAUAAACACAUAGUUAUUCAACAAAAUUACUCAACAAAAUGAACUUGUUACCUUAACGAUGUAAGCAAUCGAACAGUAACAUAAACGAUAUCACUAACUAAUAAAAAAAAAACAAUAUUCAAUGUUAAUAACAAGAAUCUGCAUGCGAAAAAAUUUCACAAUAUACAUACUUAGCCAAACUAACAGUUCAUAAUAGGAAUGCACCUUACAAAACUGAAUGAAAACUAAGUUCUCAAGCAAAGAAUAUAAAAUAAAAAUGCGAUUCCAUAUUACUUGUUUGCGCUUAUAAAACUGUUAUGAUAGUAACGUCAUAAUUAUCACACAAUUUCAUGUACAUAAUUUUUGCUCGAUUUACAAUUCCAAUUUUAAAUCAAUUAAAACCAUAAUAAUUAAUGUUGCAGAAUAUGUAAAUUAUAUACGAGUACAAUACAUACGAGUAUUAAUAUGUAUAGUUGACAUGCAUACCUUUGGCACAUGAUCACACCCGUUAGUGUAUUGAUUAGCUUUAGAACAUACAUACAUAUACAUACAUAUAUAUUUUCUCGAAACGAAAGUUAUUCAAUUAGGUCCGCGUAAAUCGGUGAUAUUGUUAAGUAUGUAAUUUUAUUUUUAUUUUCCACUGAACUACGUAUAUAAAUAAAACAAAAAAUAAAGUAAAUAAGACUUAAAUAAUAAAUUGUUGUUUAUUGUUGUAACAACAUUUCACUGAUAAGCUAAUUGAUUUAAGAUUAAUAAACGAGUACUCUUCGUUACUUCCGCUAUGCCAUAACUAUUAUAAGCGUUCAUUUAACUUUUUAAGUGAUGUCAGGAUUAAGAACUCAGCUCAUUCGAAAGAAAUAUGGCGCUGAGAACAGUCAAAGCUGUGCCAUCUUUACUGCAAAAGCAAAGCAGAUAUUUCUUGCAAAAUACAUUUGGCAAUUCUCGACACAAACAAACAUCUUCAAAUACAACUUACACUUCAACACCGAAUGCACGCACAGCCAGCAAAAAUAAGGAAUUACAAGAAUUUAACGACAGCACACAAAAAGAAAUUGAUCAUCACGCGCGUUUAUCAGCGACUUGGUGGGAUUUAAAUGGUCCGUUACAUGGUUUACACAAGCUGAACGAAAUAAGAGUUCCUUUCGUAAGCCAUGGUUUGAUGGCGCAAAGUACCGUCGACAUGUGUUUGAGCAAUACAGUUGAGGUACUUCAAGGUAAAAAUAUAUUGGAAGUAGGUUGUGGUGGCGGCAUAUUAACGGAAGCGUUGGCACGUCUAAAUGCUAAUGUAACUGGCGUUGACUUGGGCGCAGACGUAAUAAUGACGGCUGAGAAACAUUUAAAGGAAAAUAGUCCCGAACUAGUCGAGCGUAUAACUUAUAAAACCGAGUCAAUAGCGGAACAUGCAAAUAAAUAUACAAAUCAUUAUGAUGCAAUUGUCUGCUCAGAAGUGUUGGAACAUAUUGACGAGAAAGAAAUUUUCUUAAAAGAUUGCGUUAGGGCUAUAAAGCCAGGCGGUUCAAUAUUUAUAACGACCUUGAACAAAACGGUUCUACAAUGGUUCAUAGGAAUUAUUCUCGGAGAAUAUAUAUUUGGGGUUGCACCAAAAAACACACAUCACUGGAGUAAACUGAUAGCACCACAAGAUGUGAAACGCAUUCUAACUGCAUUAAAUUGUCAGACGGUAUCGCUGUAUGGCUGCACUUACGAUAUUUUCUAUAAGCGUUGGCGGUGGACUGAUACUACCAAACUGUGCUAUGCUCUCCACGCUGUUAAAGCUGUAUAAAUAAUUUCGUAUAAAUUUAUUUAAUCUUUUUACAAAACCAUAAACUAUUUAUUUCUAAUACUCAAUGUUAUAUUUACAUAAUAAACACAAACGAAACGUUUUGAAGCAUUGUGGAAGCAAUCAGGAAGCGUUUUUUUCACUUUGGCCAUACUAUUUGUUAAAACGUUGUAAAAAGCUUUAUUUUUCGUAAUUUUGUUGGAUUUGAAUUAUUAUUUGAGCGUGGAGUUCUACCACAACCGGAAAUAAUAACAAACAAACACAGGCAACACAAUAUAUUUCAAAAAAAAAAAUUAUCUGCAGUAUAUUUACAUAUAUUCAUAUAUCAACAGAUAAAUUAAUUUUGUAAUUUAAUUAAAAAUAAUAAAUAAAACAAGAUAGAAAUGAAACUGGUUCUAUAAAUAUAUUCCAGAUAUAUAAUUUAAAGGGCCAUAGGAACCCAACGGUUUUACAUAUUCGCAUUUGUGCUGCAAAAAUAACCAGCUGGCAGCACGAUUUGCUGUCAUUUCCAUAUGAUCUCUAUUUAUUUAUUUAAAACUAUAUUAAGUGUAUUAAAUAUAAAACUUGAAUUUGAUUGGUUUGAGGUGUAAUAUUUAAGUUUAUUUUAAAUAAGUGUCAAUAAGAAGUCAAAAUGUUGUCCCCUUUAUUAAAAAUUCAAAGGCAUUUAUUGGUUGGUACUCAUUAUCCCCGAUAUGCACAAAUAGCUGCCAAUAAGAUUAACAAUUCGAUAGCUAAUGGCCAAACGCAGAGAACGCACACACAUACCGCUAGUACACAAAAAGAAAUUGAUCAUCAUGCCAAAUUAUCAGCAAACUGGUGGAAUUUAAAUGGACCGAUGCAAAGUUUGCAUAAACUAAACGAACUUAGAGUGCCUUUUAUACGAGACGGUAUCACAGCGCGCGGUAACGUAGAUCCAAAGUUAAUAAAUACAACCAAAGUCUUACAGGAUAAGACUAUAUUGGAAGUAGGUUGUGGGGGCGGUAUAUUAACUGAGGCAUUAGCACGCCUUAGUGCAAAAGUAACGGGUGUUGACUUGGGCGAAGACGUAAUAAGAACUGCAAGAGAACAUUUGGAGGAACAUAGUACAGAUUUGAAACAUAAUAUAACUUACAAAAUUGAGCCAAUUGAGGUACAUGCGAAAACCAAUUUAAACCACUACGAUGCUGUUGUCUGCUCAGAAGUGUUGGAACAUAUUGACGAUAAAGCCGGGUUUUUAACACAUUGUGUUCAAACACUGAAGCCAGGAGGAUCAAUAUUCAUUACUACCAUGAACAAAACUAUUCCACUAUGGAUAGGAGGAAUUUUUCUUGCUGAAAAUGUAUUUGGUAUCGCACCGAAAAAUACUCAUCACUGGGAAAAAUUAGCAUCACCACUAGAUGUGCAACGUAUUCUAUCUGCAUUGGAUUGUCAAACUGUAUUGAUAAAUGGCUUCACAUACGAUGUUUGUCGUAGACGCUGGCGGUGGAUUAAUUCUAACUUAAUGUGCUAUGCACUACAAGCUAUUAAGGUUGCAUAAAUUAGUGGUCAAUUUUUAUUAUUAGUGUUAUUUCUAUGAUGCCUCAAACACAAAGUUAAAAAAAUAAUAAAAUUAAUAUACUGUUAAAAAA